AUUGAACGCUGGCGGCAGGCCUAACACAUGCAAGUCGAGCGGAUGAAGGGAGCUUGCUCCUGGAUUCAGCGGCGGACGGGUGAGUAAUGCCUAGGAAUCUGCCUGGUAGUGGGGGAUAACGUCCGGAAACGGGCGCUAAUACCGCAUACGUCCUGAGGGAGAAAGUGGGGGAGCUUCGGACCUCACGCUAUCAGAUGAGCCUAGGUCGGAUUAGCUAGUUGGUGGGGUAAAGGCCUACCAAGGCGACGAUCCGUAACUGGUCUGAGAGGAUGAUCAGUCACACUGGAACUGAGACACGGUCCAGACUCCUACGGGAGGCAGCAGUGGGGAAUAUUGGACAAUGGGCGAAAGCCUGAUCCAGCCAUGCCGCGUGUGUGAAGAAGGUCUUCGGAUUGUAAAGCACUUUAAGUUGGGGGGAAGGGCAGUAAGUUAAUACCUUGCUGUUUUGACGUUACCAACAGAAUAAGCACCGGCUAACUUCGUG
rnacentral:rRNA from 1 species